rnacentral:rRNA from 1 species
GAUGAACGCUGGCGGCGUGCCUAAUGCAUGCAAGUCGAGCGACGCAUGCCGGAGGGGUAACCCACUGGUAUGACGGAGCGGCGAACGGGUGAGUAACACGUGAGCAACCUGCCCCACAGACCGGGAUAGCCCAGGGAAACCUGGAUUAAUACCGGAUGCCCUCGAAGGACCGCAUGGUCUAUCGAGGAAAUGCCUUUGUGCUGUGGGAUGGGCUCGCGACUUAUCAGUUAGUUGGUGGGGUAACGGCCUACCAAGACAAUGACGAGUAGCUGGUCUGAGAGGACGAUCAGCCACACUGGAACUGAGACACGGUCCAGACUCCUACGGGAGGCAGCAGCAGGGAAUCUUGCGCAAUGGGCGAAAGCCUGACGCAGCGACACCGCGUGGGGGAUGAAGGCCUUCGGGUUGUAAACCCCUUUCAGGAGGGAAGAAAUUGACGGUACCUCCACAAGAAGCACCGGCCAACUACGUG